rnacentral:rRNA from 1 species
CAGCAGCCGCGGUAAUACCGGCGGCCCGAGUGGCGGCCACUAUUAUUGGGCUUAAAGCGUCCGUAGCCGGGUUGGUUAGUCUCCCGGGAAAUCUGGCCGCUUAACGGUCAGAAUUCCGGGAGAUACUGCCAGCCUAGGGACCGGGAGAGGCCGAGGGUAUUCCCGGAGUAGGGGUGAAAUCCUAUAAUCCCGGGAGGACCACCUGUGGCGAAGGCGCUCGGCUGGAACGGGUCCGACGGUGAGGGACGAAGGCCAGGGGAGCAAACCGGAUUAGAUACCCGGGUAGUCCUGGCGGUAAACGAUGCGGACUUUGUGUCGGACAAGCUAUGAGCUUGUCCGGUGCCGGAGGGAAACCGUUAAGUCCGCCGCCUGGGGAGUACGGCCGCAAGGUUGAAACUUAAAGGAAUUGGCGGG